GUUUCUGUCACUGGCCAUCCUCCAUGAAAGUAUCUAGUUCUUUAUUAACCCUAUUAUAAUCUUGGCCUUCCCAACAUCCUCUGGCAAAGAGUUCCACCGGUUAACUGUGUGUUGUAUGAA